rnacentral:rRNA from 2 species
CCUACGGGAGGCAGCAGUGGGGAAUAUUGCACAAUGGGGGAAACCCUGAUGCAGCGACGCCGCGUGAGUGAAGAAGUAUUUCGGUAUGUAAAGCUCUAUCAGCAAGGAAGAUAAUGACGGUACUUGACUAAGAAGCCCCGGCUAACUACGUGCCAGCAGCCGCGGUAAU